AAACCUAAAUGAACGAUCUUGUAUCCCCGGUGUAUUUAAAGCACAGAUGCAGCUGCCGACGGCAAAUUUUUAGUAGUGCAAACUGGUUGUAACAGCAAGUGAUUUUAUGACUAAACCGACAACAAGACAGUUGGAAAGACGACACCGUUCUAAAAGGUUCGCAUUUAAGAAAUUCUCCGACAAGAUUUGUUUUACUUUUCGUUUCUCAUAAGUUUUCGUAAAGAGACCCAGAACUUUUGACUGCAUUUGAAAGUUGUGCAGCAGAAUGCAGCUCAGGAUUUUCAACCCGUUCGGAAUACUGAUUUUACUGAUAUUAAUAUUUUCAGAAGUUAUUAGUAAGCCUUUAGAAAAAAAAUUAAUUUCCACCCUACUCACAGUACCGCAUCAAACCCAAAUUCAGGAGUCUCGGCAGUUCAUCGGAUCUAGUGUUAUUGGUGGAUUAAUGUCACCAGUGCUUUUAACAUUGCUUGUCACAGCUAUAAUGGCUCGUAUUCCAGACGCGCUGCAACGUUUACUUUCUGGUAGUGGAGGAGGAAGUUCUAAGUAUUUAUUCAGGAAUGGAUUAAAUGAUCAACAGGAGCGUUUAGAUCAGUUCAAUAAAAUUUUUCAGACUGCAGUGAACAAAAUGGAAAAUUGACUUUGAACUAAAUAAAUAAGGAAGUUCAUCUCACCUCUCAUUUGACUGAGACACUUGUAGAUGUACUAUGAGCAGCUCUUAUAAGCCCAGGGGGUUUUUAAUUGCAAAAAAAAAAAAAAAAAAAAAAAAACAUUACCGAGCUCGUGACUUCUUGUCACAUUUUAGUAGUUAUUUGAAUAUUAUAUGAAAGUAAUAAAAGAACUU